UACGUAGGGUCCGAGCGUUGUCCGGAAUUAUUGGGCGUAAAGGGCUCGUAGGCGGCUGUUCGAGUCGGGUGUGAAAUCCUGAGGCUUAACCUUGGGUCUGCAUUCGAUACUGGGCGGCUUGAGUCUGGUAGGGGGAUCUGGAAUUCCUGGUGUAGCGGUGGAAUGCGCAGAUAUCAGGAAGAACACCCGUGGCGAAGGCGGUUCCCUGGGACGGUACUGACGCUGAGACGCGAAAGCGUGGGGAGCGAACAGG
rnacentral:rRNA from 1 species